rnacentral:rRNA from 1 species
UACGGAGGGAGCGAGCGUUGUCCGAAGUUACUGGGCGUAAAGCGCGCGCAGGCGGUCUUCCAAGUCAGUGGUGAAAGCCCGGAGCUCAACCCCGGAACUGCCAUUGAAACUGUUAGACUUGAGGAUGAGAGAGGUGAGUGGAAUUCCCAGUGUAGAGGUGAAAUUCGUAGAUAUUGGGAAGAACACCGGUGGCGAAGGCGGCUCACUGGCUCAUUACUGACGCUCAGGCGCGAUAGCGUGGGGAUCAAACAGG